UGGCAUUAUCUAUGCUGCCAUCACUCAAGUUAUUAUGGAUGGUGCACUCUCAAUUUCUUAAUAACGGAAGAAAUUUAAUCACCUUUACGCAACCAUUUCAUGUACCUCAAGUUCUUGUUUUGCAAAAUUCCAUACCUAACCUUGGAUGUUUCUGUGUUUGUUCAAUCUUUUAUAUCAUUUGUUAAUUAAAAAGAGAUUGUUGUAUCAU
rnacentral:lncRNA from 1 species